UACGAAGUGUGCAAGCGUUACUCGGAAUUACUGGGCGUGAAGCGUGCGUAGGUGGUUCGUUAAGUCUGAUGUGAAAGCCCUGGGCUCAACCUGGGAAUGGCAUUGGAUACUGGCGACCUAGAGUGCGGUAGAGGGGUGUGGAAUUCCCGGUGUAGCAGUGAAAUGCGUAGAUAUCGGGAGGAAUACCAGUGGCGAAGGCGGCUUCUUGGCCUGUUCUUGACGCUGAGGCGCGAAAGCUGGGGGAGCAAACGGG
rnacentral:rRNA from 1 species